UACGUAGGGGGCAAGCGUUGUCCGGAUUUAUUGGGCGUAAAGAGCGUGUAGGCGGCCAAGCAGGUCCGCUGUGAAAACUCGAGGCUCAACCUCGAGACGUCGGUGGAAACCGUUUGGCUAGAGUCCGGAAGAGGAGAGUGGAAUUCCCGGUGUAGCGGUGAAAUGCGCAGAUAUCGGGAGGAACACCUGUGGCGAAGGCGGCGACCUGGUCCGUGACUGACGCUGAGGCGCGAAAGCGGUGGGGAGCAAACAGG
rnacentral:rRNA from 1 species